UACAGAGGGGGCAAGCGUUGUUCGGAAUUACUGGGCGUAAAGGGCUCGUAGGCGGCCAACUAAGUCAGACGUGAAAUCCCUCGGCUCAACUGAGGAACUGCACGGGAAACUGACGGGCUUGAGUUCGGGAGAGGGAAGCGGAAUUCCGGGUGUAGCGGUGAAAUGCGUAGAUAUCCGGAGGAACACCGGUGGCGAAGGCGGCUUCCUGGACCGACACUGACGCUGAGGCGCGAAAGCUAGGGGAGCAAACGGG
rnacentral:rRNA from 1 species